rnacentral:lncRNA from 1 species
GGGGCCGGGAUAAGCAGGGCGGGGCCAGGACAAGCAGGGCGGGCCCGGGAUAGGCAGGGCGGUGCAGGCGGGGCCGGGCGGGAGCGGCCUCCGGGUCCGGGCACGUUCUGGGCAGCCGCAGUGAUCGUACAGCGCUCCGGCCCCAUGGAGGCGGCGCGGCCGCAGCCCGCGGUGGGGCCGGAGCCGCGCGCCGAGGAGAUCGACAUGUCCUUGGAUGACAUCAUAAAGCGCCACAGGAAAGAGCAGACAGAUGCCAGUGCCUUGGGCGACAGCAGAAGGCAGCAGGUCAAGAACAGGAGUUCAGCCUCCGGAUAUAGGCGGCCCCAGUACCGACCCUGGAAGCAGAGGAAUUUGCAAGGACCUAACCGUUUCCGAAGAGGGCUUGGACAGCAGCAGUUCAAUCGGAGACAAUUCAGGAAUGCUUUGCCUGGUCACAAAAGACGAGCAGCUGCUGCAUUUGAUGGAGUGAGUCCUUUAAAUCGCCAAGCAUCAGCUCAGGAGGGCACCAAGAAGAGCAAUGCUUUUGCCAAAAGCAGCAGUGGGCAGCAGGAGGAACAGCCACAGCCAUCUCCAGGCACCAAGAGAUUCAGAGCAGAUGUUGCCAGCAUCUGCACCCCAGAGAGAAGCUGGGCAUGGCUACAGCCAUGUGCAUGUACAGCACCAGAAAAAUACCCCUGGCUAUGUUACGAAGGCACCUGGAAAGGAAACAACCUCAUGCUCAUAGUUAAUAAUGCCGAUAUUAAUCUCUGAUUUUAUUUCAGGAAGCACAGAAAAUGUGACCUUUGUAUUUUUAAUAAACUUGAUCGUUUUGGGAAACA